UCUAAAAAGGAUUUUGCCGUCAC
rnacentral:siRNA from 1 species